rnacentral:lncRNA from 1 species
UUUUUUUUNAUCUUUUUAUUAUUGAUUUUAUUAAUUUUUUUGUUAAAUCAGUAACAAAGUUAAAGCUAAAAGGUACUAAAGUGAAUAUUCAAUAAAUCUAUAUCGGGUAUCUGAAAUUUUUUGUAUAUAAUUUAACGAAAUAUUAACAAAAAAACAAAUAAAAAGAUAAAAAUAAAACUAUAGGACACUAACUUGAUACACUUUAAACCAUAUGGUACUAAAGUGAAAAAAGUGCGAAAUCACAGCCACACGGAUGGUAUAUGAAGUUUACCCUAAAAAUUAUAGUU